rnacentral:rRNA from 1 species
AGCCUUUAGCCCAACAAGUAUUAAAGGUGAUGCCUGCCCAGUGAUUUUUUAACGGCCGCGGGACCCUACACCGUGCAAAGGUAGCAUAAUCACUUGUCACCUAAAUAGUGACUAGUAUGAACGGCCCCAUGAGGACUUUCCUGUCUCUUGUAAUCAAUCAAUGAAACUGAUCUCCCAGUCCAAAAGCUGGAAUACACCCACAAGACGAAAAGACCCUGUGGAACUUCCAAGUGUUAAGCCAACAACAUGACUAAAUACUUUUAGUUGGGGCAACUUUGGAACAAAACAAAACUUCCAAUACCUGGAAUAUUAAACGCACCAAAAUCUAGGUCUACACACCAACCUUUCCCAGCCCUUCGACCCAGCACCGCUGAUUAAAGAAACAAGCUACCCCAGGGAUAACAGCGCCAUCCCCUCUUAGAGUCCCAAUCGACGAGCGGGGCUUACGACCUCGAUGUUGGAUCAGGGCCCCCAAACAGUGCAGCAGCUGUUAAUGGUUUGUUUGUUCAACAAUUAAUGCCCU